UAAGGCACGUUAAGCACUUAAAAAAAUUCACCUUCAAUAAUCGUGUACGACAGUCCAUCGAAAUCUUGCAGAAGAAACAUGUCUGGAGUAAAGGGACAGAAGAAAUGCCCAGAUCCAUGCCCAGAUCCAUGCCCAGAACCAUGCCCACCACCAUGCCCACCACAGCAAUGCCAGGAUCCAUGUGACCCAUGUCCUCCUCCACAAUGCAAAGAUCCCUGUAAACCAGCUCCACAGCAGUGCCAGCAAGGUGUGAAGAAGUAUUAAUAGGAAGGAGCCAUUGAAUGAUGGAAACUGUCCACUGCUUCAGCAAGAUGUAUACCCAGCUGUCCUAAAUGAGAUUA